rnacentral:lncRNA from 1 species
GCAAGGUGCACAAGCGGCGGCCGGCGGUCCACCGGGAUGGCCGGGAUGGCGAGCGGGAGGUCGCCGGAGGUGCGAGGAGGGCGGCGCUGCCGGCGGGGAGCAGCGGUGGCGCGCGGAGGCAGAGAUCAUCGAGACUCGGCCUGGGUGACUGCAGUUAAUCGUAGGGAGCUGGGGUGGCUCCGGCGGCGCGCGGGGACGGCGGAGGCCGGUGGUGACGGCGCCGGGGAUGGGCCUCGGCCGG